CCAAAUAGAGGUGAAUUUUUGUUAAUAAUUUUAUUGGACUUUCCUUCUUCUACAAGUUUAAAUCUAGCUAAAAGUAUAGACUUUAUUUAAUGUAUAUAAAAUUAUAAUAUUAAUUAAAAAUUAUUUAGUACAAAAAUUUUUAUAACUAGCUAAUCUAGCUAAAGUAAAUAAAUGAUCCAUUAGGUGCCAGCAUUCGCGGUUACACCUAUAUUUAAUAUGCUCUUCAUGGUUUAGGGCUUACAUUAAAAACUUAAAAACUUUAGAAGUAAAAUUCUGCUUGUUUUUUUAAUAUACUUAACCUUAAAAAUUAACCAAUAAACAGGGAUUAGAAACCCCUUUAUAUAAAAUAAAUCUAACACCUAGGGUAGUAAAUGCUAUAAACCCAAAACCCAAAGAUUUUGGCGGCAAUCAACCUUUCCAGAGAAACCUGUUUAUUUAUUUGACAAUCCACAUUAUAUCUUACUUUUAUUAAAACUUGCAUACCGUCAUCUAAAUUUUAUCUUAAGAUAAGUGUUUUAAAGAUAACAAAAAUGUUAGAUCAACGCGCAGUAAAUAUAAAAGCUUGAAAUGGGUUUCAAUUUAAACCAAAUAAAAAAACCUUUAAAUAGCCUUUCGAAAGAGGAUUUGGAUGUAAUAAUUUUUUAAAAUAAAAAUAUGAUUAAGCCAUUGAUUGUGUACAUAUCGCCCGUCGCCCUCGACCCGAGGUAAGUCGUAACAUAGUAGAAGUACUAGAAAGUGUUUCUUUAUUUAU
rnacentral:rRNA from 1 species